UACGAAGGGGGCUAGCGUUGCUCGGAAUUACUGGGCGUAAAGCGCGUGUAGGCGGCAGCGCAAGUCGGGCGUGAAAUCCCACGGCUCAACCGUGGAAGUGCACUCGAAACUGCGCAGCUAGAGUCCUGGAGAGGAAGGUGGAAUGCUUGGUGUAGAGGUGAAAUUCGUAGAUAUCAAGCGGAACACCGGUGGCGAAGGCGGCCUUGACUGGACAGUGACUGGACGCUGAGACGGCGAAAGCGUGGGGAGCAAACAGG
rnacentral:rRNA from 1 species